GGACGAACGCUGGCGGCGUGCCUAAUACAUGCAAGUUGAGCGCUGAAGGUUGGUACUUGUACCAACUGGAUGAGCAGCAAACGGGUGAGUAACGCGUGGGGAAUCUGCCUUUGAGCGGGGGACAACAUUUGGAAACGAAUGCUAAUACCGCAUAAAAACUUUAAACACAAGUUUUAAGUUUGAAAGAUGCAAUUGCAUCACUCAAAGAUGAUCCCGCGUUGUAUUAGCUAGUUGGUGAGGUAAAGGCUCACCAAGGCGAUGAUACAUAGCCGACCUGAGAGGGUGAUCGGCCACAUUGGGACUGAGACACGGCCCAAACUCCUACGGGAGGCAGCAGUAGGGAAUCUUCGGCAAUGGACGAAAGUCUGACCGAGCAACGCCGCGUGAGUGAAGAAGGUUUUCGGAUCGUAAAACUCUGUUGGUAGAGAAGAACGUUGGUGAGAGUGGAAAGCUCAUCAAGUGACGGUAACUACCCAGAAAGGGACGGCUAACUACGUG
rnacentral:rRNA from 1 species